CGGGGUGCAGCAGGCGCGAAAACUUUACAAUGCUGGCAACAGCGAUAAGGGGACCUUGAGUGCCAGGAUACAAUCCUGGCUGUCGUGAUGCCUAAAAAGCAUUAUAUAGCAAGGGCCGGGCAAGACCGGUGCCAGCCGCCGCGGUAACACCGGCGGCUCGAGUGGUAACCGCUAUUAUUGGGUCUAAAGGGUCUGUAGCCGGCUUGGUUAGUCUCUUGGGAAAUCCGGCAGCUUAACUGUCGGGCUUUCAGGAGAUACUGCCAGGCUCGAGACCGGGAGAGGUGAGAGGUACUUCAUGGGUAGGGGUGAAAUCUUGUAAUCCUUGAAGGACCACCAGUGGCGAAGGCGUCUCACCAGAACGGAUCUGACGGCAAGGGACGAAAGCUAGGGGCACGAACCGGAUUAGAUACCCGGGUAGUCCUAGCCGUAAACGAUACUCGCUAGGUGUCGGCCACGGUGCGACCGUGGUCGGUGCCGUAGGGAAGCCGUGAAGCGAGCCACCUGGGAAGUACGGCCGCAAGGCUGAGACUUAAAGG
rnacentral:rRNA from 1 species